UUUAUUCUUCUUUGAAGUAAAAGAAGGAUAAUUUUGUUUCCAUUUCCAUCGGAUUCUUAAAUACAUAUGGCAAAAAUACCAUGCAGUUCAACAUUUUAUGUUGGAGGGAGCUACUCUAUGUCAUAAAGCGACCUAUUGUAAAGUAAAUCAUAUUUUCCCAUAGGAGCAAUGUUGUAAUAAAGGGCCUUGUUCUUGGCUGAGAAUUUCACAUCCAAUAAAUCAAACCGAUGACCAACAAUAUGGUGGAAAAGCAGAACCAAACAAUAAAAUUACACUUCAAAGUCCAAGGAUUUCAGAACUCAAAGGGACCUCAGAGACGAUAGAUUUGCAGAGGAUGCAGCAGGUGAGUCCUGUAGACAUCAGAGGGGCUUCGACGCUGCACAGCUGCCACUCAGAGGGGACACUGCUGGCCUCGAUCACAUCAUGGAGACCACAAGGAUGCUGGGAAUGCACUUCCCAUUGGCCGAGCUGAGGAUAUGAGCAGGCCAUGGGUGAGCCAGGGUUUCCAUUUCUCUUCCCGCCAUGAGAAUUUCAUGCCAGUCAAUUUUAACAUAAUAAUUUAUUUUGCAUUUUGCUGUCCUCACUAAGGUAUGCAUGGAUUGUUAAAGAUUAGGAAGUUUGUUCUUUGAUUGGAUUCUUUGAUCAGAUGGAUAAGAUCCUUCCAUCUCUUUAAGAAUGCCACCUCCUCCUCCAGCCCCAAUCCUGGCUCCCCAAAUUCCAAGCUCCCAACACUUGAAAGGCCCAAACCUUGUUAGGUUUGAUGAUAGCAAUUUACAAUUAACAAAUACAUUGAUAAUGAGUGUUCUUUUCUGUAGGUUUGUUUAAAAGUGAAAACAAUGUGGCUAGUCAUAAAAGUUUCUCUUUGUUUUAGGCUGGAUGGCUCACGCGUUCAGAGGAGGGACAGCACUUGUUGCAGAGAAUGAGAUUUAGUGUGAUGUGUAUAAAGGUGUUUCAUGGCUAAAGACCAAACAGAGACUAGUGUCUCCCACUCAGGAAGAAUAAUCACCAUGCUAAUGGAUUAAAAUUCUGUUACAUAGAAUAAUCACAGGUUUAAAUAAGACUCUGCCUGCUUUAUAAUUAUCAGUAUGUGAAAAUACACUGAAUCAAGGCUGGGUGUAGUGGCUCAUGCCUGUAAUCCCAGCACUUUGGGAGGCUGAGGCGGGAGGAUCACUUGAGGGCAGGAGUUCAAGACCAGCCUGGCCAAUCUGGUGAAACCCCGUCUCUACUAAAAAUACAAAAAUUAACUGGGUGUGGUGGGAGGCACCUGUAAUCCCAGCUACUGGGGAGGCUGAGGCAGGAGAAUCGCUUGAGCCUGGGAGGUGGAGGUUGCAGUGAGCCGAGACUGUGCCACUGCACUCCAGCUUGGGUGACAGAGUGAGUCUCUGUCUCAAAAAAAAAGAAAAAAAUAUAUAUAUAUGUACAAAUCAAGAUGACUCUUAGAUAUUUGGCUAGAGCCACUGGGUUGAUGGGUAGAUGGUGAUGUUAGUUCUCAAGGAAAGGACUUGGGACAAAUUUAUUUGUCACAUUUAUUUCCUGUUUCGAUUAUUUCCGAA
ensembl:lincRNA